GGUAAUGCCGGAUGUUCCACAUGAUCGCAUGUGAUUGUGGGAAAGAUUCUAUCGGCGUGGGAUGGGGUCGCGUCCUAUCAGCUUGUUGGUGAGGUAACGGCUCACCAAGGCUUCGACGGGUAGCCGGCCUGAGAGGGCGACCGGCCACAUUGGGACUGAGAUACGGCCCAGACUCCUACGGGAGGCAGCAGUGGGGAAUAUUGCACAAUGGGCGCAAGCCUGAUGCAGCGACGCCGCGUGAGGGAUGGAGGCCUUCGGGUUGUAAACCUCUUUUGUUUGGGAGCAAGCCUUCGGGUGAGUGUACCUUUCGAAUAAGCGCCGGCUAACUACGUGCCAGCAGCCGCGGUAAUACGUAGGGCGCAAGCGUUAUCCGGAUUUAUUGGGCGUAAAGGGCUCGUAGGCGGCUCGUCGCGUCCGGUGUGAAAGUCCAUCGCUUAACGGUGGAUCUGCGCCGGGUACGGGCGGGCUGGAGUGCGGUAGGGGAGACUGGAAUUCCCGGUGUAACGGUGGAAUGUGUAGAUAUC
rnacentral:rRNA from 1 species